CACGAUGUUAUCAUUAUAUUAUGCAGAGCGCCGCCAGUUUAGUUCGCGGACCUGUCUGUAACUCGGUCGUCGACAGAUGGCGCGUCCUACGUUCGCCGCGGAAACCGAAUCCUUGGGCCCACCAAAACUAUCUACAUGCUGUGCUUGAAUAAUGGCGGUUACGAUUUGAAGAAAAAAACUCUGGUUUGUCACCCUUAUCAUUAUGAUGUUCAGAAGUCAAAUGUGGGCAAACACUACCACGGCAGAACGUAGGUGCAGCAGUACUGAUUAUGUUAGCUUAAGCGCUGGCUUGAGAUUUCCGACUGUUUAUCUCGACUGACAUAUCCAUCAAUUCUUUCAAUACAGUGUGAAUUGACAGUGAAUAUUUCAUUUGAAGAUAAUAUUAUAAGAAAAUUUGCUGAGGAAAAAUCCAGAAAAAAGUCGAUGAUACAAAAAAAGAUGGAAAAGUAUUCGGGAUUCGUUUUCUCGAAAUAAGCGGAAACUUGGAACUGAAUCUGCAAGAUUAAAUUUAAAAAAAUGGUUUUUGGCUCCACAUCUUCGCUUUUUGGAAAACAUGGAAAACAAACGACAAACGACUUCAAAUGUUGAACCAGUUGAUGAUGUAAAUCCACAAAAUGAAGACACUGAAGUAAUUGAAACUGUUGAUUGCAGAUGAUUUAUCGCCCAACACAAUAAAGAAUCAAAUCAAACAAAAAAUAUCGUAAUAUUACAUAAAGUAUUAUAAUUGGUGUGGCAACUAAAAUAUAAAAUUUUAUUGAAUUUCGGAAAAUUUAAAAAACUGGCACCUUAAUAGUAAUUUGAAGGUUUUACCUGAUAAUAAUUCACAAACAAUUACUUACUAGAAUAUUUAAGCUAAACCUUAAUAUAGGUAAUGUUUGAUGUUGAUUUAUUUAAUUUAAUGGAAAUUCCCUUCCACAAUUCCCCUUUAAAAAUGAUGUCGUUAUAUCUAGGGUUAGAUAUAUUAUACGGAACAUUAUGCUUUCUUAUUUCUUCAAUAAAUAGUUCAUCCUCAUAAAUCUAAAAUAUUCUAUGUAUAAUAAAUUAUAAGUCAUUGUACGUACUCUCAUUUGUUUUCCACGUUUUUCAAAAAACCAAGAUGUGGAGCCAAAAACCAUUUUUUUUUUAAUUUGAUCUUGCAGAUCCAGUUCCAAGUUUCCGCUUAUUUCGAAAAAACGAAUCCCGAAUACUUUUCCAUCUUUUUUUUUGUAUCAUCGAUUGUUCAAUAUUAUACAUUAUAUUUAUUUACAUUAUAUUUAUUUAAUUACAUACUAGAAUCAAGCUCGUAUCUGAGGGGGGGGGGUCCAGAGGUCUGAACCCCCCGAAAUUUCUUCAUUAUGCCUUAUUUGUAACCGAAUAUAUAAAAACAUAAAUUCAAUAAAAUUACAAUAUACAUGUUUUGGCCCCCCCCCUCCCGAAAAUUAAUUUUAGAUACGGCCUUGAAUAAAAUAUUUAAGUUAGACUUUAUAGGUAAUACUUAAUAAUUUAUAUUGUACUUACAUGAUUUAUUUAAUUUAAUGGAAAUGCCCUUCCACAAUUCAUGUUUAAAAAUGAUGUCGUUAUGUCUAGAGUUAGAUAUAUUAUACAGAACACUAUGCUUUCUUAUUUCUUCAGUAAGUAGUUCAUCCUCAUCGGGGUAAAAGACACGAGCGUGGAGAUGGCACCCCGAACUAUGUUUCUUCGCGGGGGUUGUAAAACAAUGUUGCGAAUUUUUUCAUCAGUGUUGCAAACUGUUUCAAUUAUUUUGCAAAAAGAUGGUACUAGUUUGGUGACGAUACGAUAAAGUCGGGGUGCCAACUUCACGCAUGUGGAAAAGACAGGCUUGGACAUUUAUUUUAUAUUUGUAUAAAUAUUUAUUUUAUAUGAGUAUCUACUGUAAUAAAAGGUACUAUUGGUACCUACUAUAUUAAUAAAUUGUUUUGAAAAAAUA